rnacentral:lncRNA from 1 species
GCCAAGCAACUCUACUUGUUAUCAUUUUCAUUUUUUUUGGAGCAGCUUUGGAAAGUUGUUUUGAGAAUGACAUCGGGCUUUUUUAAUUCAUUAGUGACAAGCUUACAAUGUUUGGCCUAGCUUUGGUGGAAAGUUAUCAUGCUUAACAACGUCACCGUGUAUCAUUUAUUGAAGAAGAUUACCAUUAUGUCUGUCUUUUUUUAUACUCACUCCUCUGGAAUAACCACAAUUGCUUUCAGUUGUGCCAUCUUUGGCUUGAGGUUUUUUUUAGUUCAAUAGUUGUAAUGUAUUUUUUUUCACGCUUAUUACUAGAUUUGGUAUGUGUGGAUUAUUGUGAGCAUCGUGAUGAAUAGCUUCCUUUUGUUAUCUCUUGCACUUUGAAUUCUAGUGAAGAACUAGAGUCCUGACGGGGAGAAAAGGAAAGAAAAGAAUGUAAGGCAAAAAAGAAUAUUCCCUCGGUGUGUUUCGCCUACCUUUCACAGUUUUUUUGGUUCCACUUCAGUUUUAUUCUACUAAACUGAAUAGUUUCAUGAAUCAUCGAUAAUUUGCAUUUUUGAAAAAGAAAUAUGAUCUUAUAUUUUUUUAUAAAAAUAAUUACAUCUUUCAUUUAUAUUUUAACAAAUUGAUUGCAUGAAGAGCUUAAGGUGGUUAUCUCGAUAUUCUUCUUUCUUGGCUUUGUUGUCUUUUUAUCUGGUCCAUAAAUGAAUUUUUCUCUUUUUCUUCAUUGUUAAUGUCGCUAUUAUAAGUUUUCCCAUUCGGCUGAUUGUAAAUAGAAUAAAUCCACUCUAUCCUUGCAUUGAUCUAUUGUGUUGCUAAGAUACUGCAGUUGUAACGUCUAUAUGGGAGUUAAAAUAAGAUAAAAUCACUCUGCCUAGAAAGCAUCAUUGUCCCUAUCUGUUUGUAAACCGUGGUAUUGGUCUACCUCGCGACUGAACGAAAUUAUUAUUCGAUGUUGGGUCUACGCAUAGAAGCUAUGAUAAGACUCUCUUGACAUUAUUAUGUGGGGGGUGCUGAUGCUUUUGGGGCACUAUGAUUUGGUUUUUGGAUGGCUAAAAUGACCUAAGCCCAAAUUAUAACCAAGACGCUAGAGAAGUAUAUUAAAUAAUAAAAAGCAUCAAACCAUUAAUAAUCACUUUCACUAGUAAAAAUGUGUAGAACUGUGUUUCACUUUUGGCUUUUUCUCUUUCAUUUAUUUAAAAUUUAAUAUGUUUCCUGUCUUUUCGAUGUUUUGUGAACAUCAUUCAUUCAGGAUUCCUCUGAAGGCCUAUAAGUAUGGUAGUCCCUGGACCCGCAGAUUACGUUUUGUUCAACGGCAUAGAACUUGAUGAUUUUCUUUAAGUCUGAGUUUAACUCUUGUUAUUUUUAAAAGCUUAAAAAAUAUUAUUUGUAAACAGCUUCUCAUUUAAGUUAUGAAUAUCAGUGCUAUUUGAUCUAUUUAUGCGGUAAGUGGUGUAGCUUCAAGUAAUGUGAUUGAAUGGUCGAAAGGAUCGCUACUGGGCUUCGUCACAUUUGAAUACAGUUACUCAGUGGGAACAAUUGCUUGUGGCAUUGGCCAGGUAGUUGCAAGAGAGAUUGGUCGCAUGGAUUAUAUGUCCAGCUAAUUAUUUAUGUCCUACAGUCAGUUACUUAUAAUCUUUUCAUUUCAAAUAAAUGUGAAAUAAAAAUUGUGGAAAUGUUUUUUCUUUCUGUGGAAAUAUUGGUGUUAAUGCUACAUUGGGCUUUUGGAUUAAUUUCUUGGAAUUAUUAUUUGAUAAGGGGACAUUGGCAUGGGUUAAUUUCUGUUCUAUCUAUCAUGAUUUUUCUGUGCUGAGAUGGGAUGCAUAUUCCUGUAUCAGACUGGAUACAGGAAAGACUGUCCAUGGUUCCCGUGUAACAAUCCCCUGGACGGGAAUCCACUCUUAGCCUCUGGUCAUAUGGUAAUGCGUAAUCUAAUUUUCACCAAACCUCCCCAUCACUUCUCUCCUCCCCCCCUUCAGUUUUUGUCAUAUGCCCCGUUUUUGAAAUGUUGGAGUAAGUUGCAAAUCUAAUUGGUCGACUGGUCUAGGAAUCUGCAAAAGAUAUCCCCAAUUUCUUCUUGCGACAAGGAUAUUUGGACAGAUAACCAGGCUCAGGUCCUUCUGAAUUUUUUUGGCAUGGGCUGGAGGAAUGAAUUCUAUUAGGUGCGGUUAGUAAGUUUGUUUGUUCAUUCUGAGAAAUGUGAAUCUAAUCCUUUUCAUAUGGGGGCAUUUGAUCUCUCACCUUCAUGUGCAGAUUUGGAUUGGAGGACUACCAAAUUAUACCAACGUGCAUUCCAAGUAAAGAGGGCAUUUAUUUUUAUACUUGUCUCUCAUAAUCACCAGCUUUUGUUUUGAAAUAGUUUAUUUUAUAGAUGACUAUGGCCAAUGCAUAGAAUUAUUGCUUGAUUAGUUGGUUUUUCCGGUUUUCCCUGUUGUGCAAUUCGGUGGCAACUUUUUCAAAUAGUUUAGAUUGAGGUUAUGUCUAUUUGAUCUAUAAGGCACGAAGGUCAGUUUGUUAUUCCUUGCACACACUCAGUAUACUUUCAGCCGAUUUUGAUUGUGAAGCCUUAGAUAUAUUGAUUGACGUGCUGAAUGAGAUUUAAUGGUUGUCCAGUUACAAGCUGUGGCCCAACAAUGUGUUGCAUGUCACAUGAUAAGUGUUUUUUUUUUUACGUGCAAUCCCGUUCGGAUAGCUUUUUGAAAAUGAUUCAGAAAAAUGCACCUUAUGUGUGGAUUCUUAUUUUAUCAUAACAAUUGUUUACUUCAUAAUCACCACUCUUUUUUUUCUUCUUUCCAGUUGAUGCAUUAAAAAAGGAAGCAGCCGGACAGCUGCCAAAAGUGGUUCAGCAAACGAAAUAUUUUUGUCAGGAAUUGAAAUAGGUGUAGUUGUUUGUAUGUUCCAAUCAGCUAAAUGUAAUGAUUUGAUAGAUCAUCCAAUUCUGUGCUUAUUGGCACUUUCUUUGGUGUUGUGUAUGUUUUAGAUGGCCAGACUGUGCCUGAUUAAGGAUAAUGUUCUUGAGAAUUACUGGUUGCAAAGAGAAGAACUUAGGGAUUACUGGUCAGUAUGUGUUCAAUUGCCUCUUCCUUAUAUAUAGAUUUCACAAUACUCAUAAUCAUACCGUAACCUUUUUAUCACCUCAGACCUAGUAAGGCUUAUAUAGCUUCUGAUGGUAUCUGAUUGCUAACGCAUGCAUCAUGAUUGUUCAAGUACCCAGAUAUUUCACAUUGUUCAUAGCUUUCUGCAGUCGCAGAAAAACAUAGAAAAAUAACGGUUGUAAGGUAUAUAAGAAAGGAAUAUUCAAGUCUGUGUCUUCGGUGUUUCUAUUGAUUUCAAAUGGUGUGUUAAUGAACUGGAUAAUUGGGAAAUUGAAUAAGUUCACACUGCUACUGUAUGACAAGACACAUCUCAGUAGAUGUAAAUGGGAACCAUUGCCACAUGUAUGACUGACAUGACCCAAUUCAACAAGAGGAUAAGACAUGGCAUACUGACAAGACAUGCACGAAAACACGAAAGGGAAUGUUGCGGGAAAGGAGGAGACGGGAACGGCGGGGGAAGGGGAAAGAGGAGAGGGACGAGAGAGGUGGGUAGAAGAAAGAAAGGAAGGGAAAAAUUAGGAGGGGAACAAAAAAAAAGAUUAGAACAUACGGAGAGGUGGGGCUAAGGGCAAGGGACAGAGGGACGUGGUAGGCAAAAAAGGUCUCUUUAAGCAAGCCAAGUGACGUCAAAACAAAUGUAAAAUUAUGGCAAUAAAUUCUAUGGCUCGUUAUCCUUCUCGAGAUUGCUGCAUUUGUUGAUCUUUAGAAGCAUAUACGGAUUAUGGCCACGGCCACGGAUACGGAUUACGCAUGUCCGAAGGAAAGACUCAUGUUUGUGAAGUCUUCCUAACGUGUGAUAAAAAAAAAAAAAAAUUAGAGGACAUGCCAAGUGGCAGUGAAGACUGUCCCAAAGUCGGGUGUCCAAGAGGUCAGUGUCAGAUAUUGUGUUCCCCGACAUGAAUGUGGUGACUAAUUUGUCAUGUCGUGCAUUAUAGUUGGUCAAGCGUCAGGCAUGACCGGAACAAGUGCUAAUUCUGGAAACUAAUCAUGACAGUGGAUUGCCCCGGUUUGAAAUGCAGGAGGAUUGGUAACUUCACCUCUAACUCACGAAAUAAGAAUUUUUUUUUAGAAAAAAGUAGCUUUAGAGGGUUACUAACCUCAAAAUUAUUGGAGAGUGUAAUCUUAUGUUUGAUGGCCUAUAACCUACCACAAGAUACAAUGUUGACCUCCUGAUUCGUAUCUUCUGUUUUUUUGGUAGGCUUUAUCAUUUGUUGGCUAGACAGAUGAUAGGUCAUCUUUUGUCAAUUGCCUUAUUCAAUAUGCUUAUUUCCACAUAUUUCACUUUGUUUAAGAAUAUUCUUACUACUUUUGAAUUACUAUCGUCAGCAAGGAACAAAAUUUCCUUUUGCCAUUGGAAAACGGUCGAAAAGUUUUCGUUUCCUAAAGAGAUCAAAGCCGAAAACAUUAGUGGAUAAUGAAACACUAUUAUUACGAUCAAAACAAUGAAAUAUAGAAAAAUUACACAAACACAACGCUUAGACCUAAAAAUAAGUGUAUUAACCCGAAUUAAUUUUUUUUUAAAAGAUGUACAUUUUCAUCCGAGAGAUUGUAUUUUCGUAUUUUAAUAUUGUCAUUUUGAAAUGUUUCGAAAAAUUCCCAAAAUAUUUUCGAAAUAGUUUUUGAUUGAAACGUUUCCUAGCCAAACGAAACGAUCCCGUCGAAACGAAAUUUUAAUCCUUGAUCGUCAGUACACUUAAUGCAUCUAAUUCCGAACUUUGUGAUUUCUCUCUCUAUGGUGCGUGUUGGUGCUAACGAUAAUUGUAAUUAGGAGUGUUUUAGGGAGUGUAAUGACCCUAACACAGUGUGUUAAUAUAUAUAAUGGUCGAGAUUAAACACGCUCAAUUCUACUACUCACUACACACACAUACUACUACACCCAACACUCUCAUUCAUUUCUAUCAAUUUCUU